rnacentral:SRP_RNA from 1 species
UCUGUGCGCGGUGGUGCGUGCCUGUAGUCCCAGCUACUUGGGAGGCUGAGGUGGGAGGAUCACUUGAGUCCAGAAGCUCUGGGCUGUAGUCCGCUACGCCGAUUGGGUGUCUGCCCUAAAUUCGACAUCAAUAUGGUGACCGCCAGGGAGCAGGGGACCACCAGGUUGCCUAAGGAGGGGUGAACCGGCCCAGGUCAGAAACGGAGCAGGUCAAAACACCCAUGCUGAUCAGUACUGGGAUCGCGCCUGUGAAUAGCCACUGCACUCCAGCCUGGGCAACAUAGCGAGACCCCGUCUCU